rnacentral:rRNA from 1 species
AUGAACGCUAGCUACAGGCUUAACACAUGCAAGUCGAGGGGCAGCAUGGUCUUAGCUUGCUAAGGCCGAUGGCGACCGGCGCACGGGUGAGUAACACGUAUCCAACCUGCCGUCUACUCUUGGACAGCCUUCUGAAAGGAAGAUUAAUACAAGAUGGCAUCAUGAGUCCGCAUGUUCACAUGAUUAAAGGUAUUCCGGUAGACGAUGGGGAUGCGUUCCAUUAGAUAGUAGGCGGGGUAACGGCCCACCUAGUCUUCGAUGGAUAGGGGUUCUGAGAGGAAGGUCCCCCACAUUGGAACUGAGACACGGUCCAAACUCCUACGGGAGGCAGCAGUGAGGAAUAUUGGUCAAUGGGCGAGAGCCUGAACCAGCCAAGUAGCGUGAAGGAUGACUGCCCUAUGGGUUGUAAACUUCUUUUAUAAAGGAAUAAAGUCGGGUAUGCAUACCCGUUUGCAUGUACUUUAUGAAUAAGGAUCGGCUAACUCCGUGCCAGCAGCCGCGGUAAUACGGAGGAUCCGAGCGUUAUCCGGAUUUAUUGGGUUUAAAGGGAGCGUAGAUGGAUGUUUAAGUCAGUUGUGAAAGUUUGCGGCUCAACCGUAAAAUUGCAGUUGAUACUGGAUAUCUUGAGUGCAGUUGAGGCAGGCGGAAUUCGUGGUGUAGCGGUGAAAUGCUUAGAUAUCACGAAGAACUCCGAUUGCGAAGGCAGCCUGCUAAGCUGCAACUGACAUUGAGGCUCGAAAGUGUGGGUAUCAAACAGGAUUAGAUACCCUGGUAGUCCACACGGUAAACGAUGAAUACUCGCUGUUUGCGAUAUACAGCAAGCGGCCAAGCGAAAGCGUUAAGUAUUCCACCUGGGGAGUACGCCGGCAACGGUGAAACUCAAAGGAAUUGACGGGGGCCCGCACAAGCGGAGGAACAUGUGGUUUAAUUCGAUGAUACGCGAGGAACCUUACCCGGGCUUAAAUUGCAGAUGAAUUACGGUGAAAGCCGUAAGCCGCAAGGCAUCUGUGAAGGUGCUGCAUGGUUGUCGUCAGCUCGUGCCGUGAGGUGUCGGCUUAAGUGCCAUAACGAGCGCAACCCUUGUUGUCAGUUACUAACAGGUCAUGCUGAGGACUCUGACAAGACUGCCAUCGUAAGAUGUGAGGAAGGUGGGGAUGACGUCAAAUCAGCACGGCCCUUACGUCCGGGGCUACACACGUGUUACAAUGGGGGGUACAGAGGGCCGCUACCACGCGAGUGGAUGCCAAUCCCCAAAACCUCUCUCAGUUCGGACUGGAGUCUGCAACCCGACUCCACGAAGCUGGAUUCGCUAGUAAUCGCGCAUCAGCCACGGCGCGGUGAAUACGUUCCCGGGCCUUGUACACACCGCCCGUCAAGCCAUGGGAGCCGGGGGUACCUGAAGUGCGUAACCGCGAGGAGCGCCCUAGGGUAAAACUGGUGACUGGGGCU